GGUUGCGAUCAUACCAGCACUAAUGCACCGGAUCCCAUCAGAACUCCGCAGUUAAGCGUGCUUGGGCGAGAGUAGUACUAGGAUGGGUGACCCCUUGGGAAGUCCUCGUGUUGCAACCC
rnacentral:rRNA from 1 species